rnacentral:ribozyme from 14 species
GAAAGAGAAAAGAAGGAAGAAUAGGUGUUGUCAGUAUAUUUGCUGAAUCUUUUAGUGUGAUGUACUUGAUCCCUUAUUUUCCUCGUUUUGAUAAGGCUCUUCGUCCUCCUUUUUUUUUUCCUCUUUUCAUCACCAUGGAAAGUAACGAUCUGAAUGCAGGCUUGGUUCUGUAUGCUACAAUUCUACAAAACAAUUGGAAUAAAAAAGGCAAU